rnacentral:rRNA from 1 species
CUUUUACAAUGAAGAGUUUGAUCCUGGCUCAGGAUGAACGCUAGCUACAGGCUUAACACAUGCAAGUCGAGGGGCAG